rnacentral:lncRNA from 1 species
AGAGGCUGCGGGCCCUGAGCCGCUCGGCGCCCGCGCCGGCUCCCCACCGCGGCGCUGCCCCGCCCCCACCCCGUCGCCCGUGCAGGCUCCGAGUGAAUGAACUUGAUUCCAGGGAUUUUGAAGAAGGCGGUUCGCCUUGCACCCUUUCUGCACCCCCCGCCCACAUACACACACCGCCCCCCAAAUCCAGUUUUCUGCUUGGGGUGGAUGGGGACGAGGGGGAAGCAAAGGCCUCCCAGACAAUGGAGGGAGGAAAAGUGAGCGCCUGGGGCUCCGAGUCUACCUAGCUGGGGGAUCCGGGGGGCGCUGGGGCUACCGGGUCCUCGCGGGCCCAUCCCCAGGGCGGGGCCGCCCCGCUUCCACGGGUACUGCUGGGGCGUUUCGAGGCUCGCCCCCGAUUCCCCGGUCCUCUUUCCACCGCUUCCCAGCUCGUGAUCUGUCCCCUCAACUUUAGCCCCUCUCACUCCCUCUGGUUUCUGUCCACCGUCCCCUCUUCCCUCCCCCAGCGGACCUGGAGGAACCAGUGACUUUUUCCUUCACCAAGUGGGAGUUAUCCACAUCAAGCAUUUCACAACGACACAUCAAGAAAAGUAGGCAGGUUCAAGUCAACCAUGAAAUGGUCACUUUUUAACCCCGUCCUGUCCUCAUUAGGGAAAUGCUCAAACACAGUCCGUUUUCAAAGAGCGCUCUUAAUGAGGCGAGCUUGCCAAGUUUACCAGCUGCAGCCCCCGUAAACCCAGAGCCCAAAGAAGAAAGGCGCUGGGGGGUGGGGAGUUCGGGAGGCCGGGGACGGGGGCUGCUGGGACUAGGAAGACAGGUAAAGUCGGGGAGAUCGCGCGGACCCCUGCGAGUUAACCCUUUCGGCCACACGCCCUGGGAGCGGCCUCCCUGCGGUCCCCGCCCCUGCCCCGGCAAAUCCUGGAGUCAGCGUUCUGACAACGUUAAUUUCCUUUGUGCGGGUCAUUUCUUCUUUUUGAAAAGCUGGGAUAAAGUUGGCAGUCUUUAUGGAUGAAAGAAAUGAGGUGACAGGGUUAAUCCAAGUAAAUACUCAUUUCUCUCAGAAAUUUUAGGCAACCUCAUCUUAGAUUAAACACACACAGACACACACACACAGAGAAACCACCAGCACGAAAGCAUCACUUUGUAUUGCACAUUACACUGCAUCCCCUUUCUCACCCUCACCAGAUUCUGAGGGGAGGGGGUGGGGAAGCUCUACUGAUAAUACCAGCUUUAACUACUGCAGUUUCCCUUUGAACAAAUAUUCAAUUUAACUGGAGUUAAUUUACCAUAAAAGACAUUCCCCUUGGCAGGAAUGCACUAAUAUCCUUGAACACACCUCUUUGAAUGCCUGGACUCUCAUAGAAGCCAUUAUUUCGGGGUCUCUUUAAAAAUCGAGCGCCCAUCUCUCCUUCUCUCCCUCCCUCCCUUCUUCCCUCCCUCCUCACCACACCACCCCCAGUGAAAUCCUGGCACCCAGAGAGCACUCCUUUCAGCCUGAGAGCCCAGAACCAGCCGUUGUCCCCUGGCAAAAAGAGGCCCAGGGCUGAGCCCUGGGCAAGUGUCUCCCGACAUCGCUACCCCUCCUCCCUUUAUUAGUUUCCCUUUCCCAACAGAAACCAUUUCCUUCUGCCACCAAAACUAGGUUGCAUCCAAAAGUUUUUCACAAGCUUAAAAAAGAAAAACGAAAAAUUGACAAGUAUUACACAGAAGAGCCCACAAAAGCUUCAGCAACACCAAGGGCGAAGAAGCAGCGUCAGAUCCAGAAAAAGGAAAAUGAGAUAGGAGUAUGGUGAGGCGAGGAAAACCAAAAAGGAAUGAAGAGUGAGCAACAGAGACUUCCUGAAAAAGAAGGUUUAUGGGGGUGCUCAGUUUCUAUGGCUUUGACUGUCUUCUCAGGCCUUGCAGCCAUGUGGAGAAUGGCUGACACCCCCCAAAACACUUCUUCUUGUCCAGCCAAUGCCAAGGUCAUUGCAGGCCUUCCCUGGAAGAACUCUAGGGAGUUGUUUGGAAAGAGGGACUGGUGGAUUUCGGUGCAUGGGAUGCCUGGCUUCUCUUAACACAACACUUGUCCACCACCUUUGGUUUGAAAAUCUCAAUCUUUUAAAUCCCAGGUAGAAGGAGGAACUGAGAAAGUGCCUGCAUUGUAUUCACUUUCCAUUUUUUCUAGCACGUCUGUGUCGUGGUAUUAAGAGUGGAAAUAUCUCUGAAAAGCUUCUGAUAGUAUCAAAAUGGGCCAAACACUUCUUAAACUUUGGUACUUACCAAUCCUAAACUCUUCAUCUCUCCCUCCCACACUGAGAGGGUUAAAAGCACUGGUGUGACAGGCCACUUUCAUUCACCCCAAAACCUGGCUGAGGAGGCAGAAAGAAGUGAAUGAUUCUCUCAGCAACAGGAAACUCUGUUAUUUCAGUAUUCUUAAAGAUCUCCUCCCUAGAUCUCCUUGCUGCCUUAUAAGGGAAAAAAAAAAGUUUCCUUUCUAACUAACAGAAAGUUUAUUGAUUUCUAAAUAGAAUGCCAGUGCUUCAGCUCACUGGAUUUUUCAAAACCCAGUUGUAUAUUUGAAAUAAGCAACGCUACCACAUUUGAGCCUUUCACUACGGAUCUCCAGAGAGGAGCUUGACAUCUCAAGUAUCUAAUAUUGUUUUUCUUUUAACCUUUUCCUUCCUAAAGAAAUUGCAGCGACAGGUUGCAAAUCCUGGGCAGUUUCAUGAAAGAUUUCUUGGAACUUAACAAAGCUGUCAUUUCCAAUACACUCGAUGCCUUUUUUUUUUUUUUUUUUUUUUUUUGGCUCUUGCAUGUGGUUUGCAAGAAGGUUCAACUAUUCUACACACCCUGGCUGCAUCACCAAUAUCAAUAUUUAAAAACUAAAUGCAAAAGAGACAGAUGACCUCCUGACCCCAGAAAGCAGGCCUGCAAAACUGCAAGUAUCUACUGCACCAUGCCCUGGGAUCUUUCCUUUUUCCAAAUGAACCACAAAAAUCAUACAUGUGUAGUCUGGAAAACACAAAUUUAUAUCCACAAGGAGGAACACCAAAAAUCCACUCAUAAAUGCAUAUAUAAACAAUCAAGAAGUAUUGAAAGUGCCUGUACUUGAUGAGAAUUGCAAAAUCAAUUUUACCAGCUCAGGUAAUCAAAUUACCCAGCUCUUAAACUACUACUGAGUACUACUACUACUGUCUACUACUCUUAAACAAAAAACAAAAUCAUACCCAGCCCUUAACGUACUACUGUCAAAUUAGGGUAGUAAUUUUUUCCCCACCAGAGAAUUCACAACUGGUUAGUUUCCCCACCCCCAUUGCUAGCCCUUUGCACUGAAAUGAAUAAAUAACCUUGGACCUUUUUCUCCUCCUCUGGGAGCUAUUUGGUGUCCCCUGAGGACAAAAGUAAAUGAGAAAAAUGACGCUGUUAAUAAUGUCACUGCCGAAAUGCCUCUACUCCACUGUUUAAAAAAAAAAAAAAAGCAUCCCACUAAGUGUGUCUACAUUUCUAGCAUAUUUACAAGUUAUAAUACAGUUCUGAUCUCAACACCAACUGAGCCAGAUUCCUCCACUAAGGUUAUCCGGUUUUCACUUCUCAACAGAGAUGAGGCCAGUGCAUCAACAGAGAUUCCCAACACUGUAAGACACUUGCUUCACAGAUUACAAAGUCAGCAGUUGCCCUGUAACUUUUGCAUGAUGUAUUUUAAACUUUGAAAAUAGAGGUAAUAGUUGCCUCACUUAUCCACAAUGUUACAAAGGUUCCAUAUACUCUCUCACACAGUGUCUCUUGUCUGCUGAUAUUGAGAGAGUUGCAGUUAUUGCUCUUUUUCAAAAUAGCUGACCUAUAAAGUAAAACUAUAUGACCAUUUUAUUUCUACAGGUAAACUGGCUUCUAUUACCCAUAUACACAUGCCUUGUAACAUAGGAAAACAGAUGGGUUUUUAAGACAGGUAUAGAAAGCUCUGUCCAAAAUGGCUAAGUAGUCUUUACAUUCUGUAUUAAGUAUAAAAAGUGCAUGGCAGAGCAACUCAAACUUUCUGCACCCCUUUCUCUCAUUUCUUCUUUGAAAACUGCAUAACAAUGCAUAACAACAAAAUUUCAAAGUCAAAGCAAUGCAUAACAACAGAAUUGUGCAUUUUAAUUUUCAAAUUAAAAUUUAAGAAACAAUUUUGUAAUUACAAAGAAAAAACACAAACAAUUGGGCCUAAACAAAAUAUAUGUUCAGUAAACUUUAUCUCUGAGUGUAUCUGAAAUUUUAACUACACAAGCCAAUAAAUUUCAAAGCAGUAAUAUUAUCAAAUUGUGUAAUGUCAAAAACUCCAAAAACAAAGUUACAGAUGUUCAUGACAUCACAUUCACUCAAAAUUAUGCUGCUGUUCAGUCUGACCAUAUUAAAAUUAAAGGGAUGCCUAUGUCUGCUAAAGAAUAAAAAUUUAUUUUGGACCUCAAACAAUGAAACCGUCACCAUUUCUUGUAUGGAACACUCAGCUAAUCAAUUUCCUAUUAAAAUAGCUUUCAACAAUACUUGGCUUUAAAAUUCAUCAGGGCCAGUAAAAACGUUUUCCCAGUGCACAAGAAUGCAGUCCCAACCACCGAUGAUAAUUACUGUUCUAAUAAUUUUAUUGCCAAAGUACUUUUUCCUGUGUUCCUCAUCACUUAGGCAGGAAUCUGUAGUAUAUUGCGUCAGUGAGUUGGAGUGCUUGACCUUUGCCCACAUAUGAUUUAAUAGGGACUUUUCAGCGCUAGAGCUUUCUCCAUCUCUCAUACCAUUAAAUGAAAACAUCAAACCUCAAAUGUAAAACUGGAAACCACAACGUUUUGUGUUUCACAAACUCUUUGCAGUUUUUACUUAGGAUGCUUAAAGGUCAGUUUCUUUGCCUCACAAUGCUUUUCUUCAUAUUGUAAAUACACUGGAAAGUCACACUAAUUCUGAUUUUGAUUAAAUCUUGAACUCCUCAGUCAUAUACACACAUACACCCUGCUUAUUUACACGUGCAUUCUUUUCUAACCACAUAAGCAUGCGUGUGUUACUUUCUGGACUUAUUCCAUUUUAGGGCUGAUUUAAAUGUCUGUUCAAGUGUGGGAUCAAAAGUUAACUUUUUCCCGCCUAUUGGAAGUUAAAGUUACAAGGAUGGUGCUAUAAGAUCCGUUCAAAGAAAGUCAGAGUUAAUCUUGUGUAUUUUGGCGCCUUUUCCCUGCCAGCUACUGUACUUGGGGGGUGGGGGAAAAAUACUUAGAGAUCUUGUCUGUCCUGUCUCAAGUUCAGUGGCAGUUCUUCCAACCCGAGCAGAAGAUGGCCAUGUUCACAGCCCUAAUAAUAAUUCUGAUCACGCCACUUCAGCAUCUUGUGUCAAAGUCGAAACUGGCUUCCCCGCCCCCUUCAAUCUGAAAGCUGCCAAGUCCUCACACACUUCACAUUCAACCACAACUUAAUGGAUGGGAUAUUGUGCAUUAAAAUGUGUCUCAGACGUAUUGGGGAAAAGAAGACAAGGAGAACGAGAGAUAGAGACACACAUAGGAAGAGGAAAAAAAUCGGCAGCAAAAAUAGCGGGGUUGGGGGGAAACUAUUAACAGGAGUGGAAAGAAAUCCAUCAAAAUCGGUUUUAAAAAGUUGGUGGGGGGUGCGGAAGAAAGGCUAACAAUAGGAUGCCACAAAUUCAGGGAUGAGGGGAUGGGGGUUAGGACUAAACUUUAGAAUGAAUACUGACUUUAAACAUUCCAACACACCAAUCAGAGUUAAAUAGUACUUCUUUCACUUAAAAAUGUAUUUUUAAAUGAGAAUAUCUGUGAAUUAAAAUGGAGAAAAGAAUGCUUCAAGAGGAGAGAAUGGCCUACAAGGUAGAACUAAAGUAUCAUUUGAACAGUAAUUUUUUUCCACCACUGAGGGGAGAGGGGCAUAAAGCAGAGAGUUAAAGCAGAACAAAAUGCUAGAUUCUGCACCGUUUGGACCACAAUGUUACUCACUGAUUCCCGUCAUAAGAGUGUGUCACAUGUACUAAAGUUGCCAACGCUAAAUAAUAAUGCAUAUUUGCAAAUUAGUUCUGCAAAUGCAGCACUAUAGCCCACAACCUGUAAAACAAAAAUGACAUUUAGGAAAGGGGUAAAACAGCCACUUUGCAAUCCACAAACAGGAAAAGAAAAACUGUGCCAGGGAUAGGAGGGGGUGCAAAGAACGAAUAAAAGAAGCAAACAAAACCCAUCAGUUCAAAGCCACAUACCAUCGCACUGUAUUGCAUUAAAUAAAAGAGAUCUUGAGUCUGUAACAGAACCCUGGGCCGCUGACUUGACGUGUCUCAG